rnacentral:lncRNA from 1 species
UGCAGCACCUGACUCUAAUCCAGUUUGCUGGUCCAGGGGAUUGAACCCAGGUUCUCUCACUUGCUAAGCACUGGCUCUAUCAUUCACCUACACCCCGGUCUGGCUUCACAAAUUUAUAUAAAUUCCUUUUGAGAUAUGUUACUAGAAUGCCCUUGACAUUAUGGCCAAUAUACAGCGCUGAGAACUGACCCCAGAGCCUCAGGCAGACAAUAGAAGGAAAUGGAAGAUUGGCUCUGAAAGGUUAAUUUACUUCUCUAAAGUCACAGUGUUGGAGCGGCUAUACCAAGGUCUCAUUUCUAAUCCUUUCUAUGCUCCAUCAUUAAACUGCUGACAGAUUUCCUAGGACUUUUGUUUGAAGACAGUAAUAUUCUUUCAAACAUUUUUAUAUGGGAGGAAAAUAACCCUACAAUCAAUGACCUCUGUGCUUCCCUCUGUCACAAUAUUAACCAAAAAACAAGUGACAAACUAAUAAUUGGAUUGUCAGGGUUUUUGUCUUCAAGGGUUAGGAGACAAAUUUAGAGGAAAGGGGGGUAUUUUUUUUUUUUUUUACUACCGGGGAUCAACUCGGGACCUUGCGCUUGCGAGGGAGGCGGCAGAACCGCUGAGCUAAAUCCCCGGCCCAUAAGGGGGGUAUUUUUGAGGAAACAAUACCAACCUAGACACGAGGCCAGGCUAAAUUCAGGGGGUACCAAGCUAACCUAUUGCCGAGAGAAGCAGAGUUUUAUUUUUUCUUCACCUCUGUGCUUUUCUUCACUGUUUCCAAGGAUUUUUCGAAGCUCGACAGUCAAGCGCUCACCGAGCCCACUGACACUAAAUGGCAGGGUAAUACUUUUUAAUCUGUCCCCCAACCCUUGACUCCUAUACGGCCUCUUCUUGCUUUGUCUCUUACAUGCUUUUCCCUUUGUC